UCUGCAAAAAAUAAUCUGUGGCUUCUCACAUUUUUUUUCCCGUUAAGAGCUCCAAGAACAAAUUCUAAUGCUAUCAAAGAAUACAGAUCAAAAUCUUCAAGCAAAUCAGAGAUCUGUUGGAAAUGAAUUAAGAUUGAAGCAGAAUAAUUCUUGGUAUAUGAGGUAAGAAUUCUCCUCUACUAAAUAUAUUUAAAUUCGUUCAGGUCAUAAUUAAAUUGUGAGACAGAAACUACGAAAUUAAUUACGGAGGUGAACGAUUAUGAUUGGAUUAUUAUGGGAGAGAAAGGAAUUAAAUAAAAAAAUUUAGUGGACAAAUGGUAUGUUAACAUGCACACCACGUAUCCAUGAUUAGGGACAGCAAACUGACACCUUUCAUGACAUUUUGUUGGUGGCAUGUUGAAGACAAAUGAUAAAUGUAUAUAUGUUAAAGUGAAGAGUGGACUCAUGGUCCCUAAUUAAAAAGUUGUGCUUGAAAUCAUUCCUUUCAAAAGGGAUAAUUCUCUUAAGAACGUAUGGAGCAGCAAAAUAUAUAGGAAGCAGCUAUAUACUUCAUUUUUAAAGGCAUGAAAAAUGUACAAGUUACGUUGAAGCAACACAAUACGGCAAACGACCUCGAGCCCUCGCCGACUACUUGAUUUUGGCGUCGCUUUCCUCCGGUUGAUAGCAAAUCGGAGAUUUCUUUGAAGUGAAGUUAGAUGGAAGAAGAUCAUUUGUUGACAUAUAAGGUUUAUCAUAUUAAUUGUGGAAGUUCUUGGCUGGACUAAGCUCUUGAACGACGUAAGGUGCAGAUACUCACUUUGGUGAUCCGCCAGCUUAGGAUUUCCUUUCUGCUGUCUUGGAGAGCUCCGUCGUUCCGGAGCCUAGAUUUUGGUACAGACUUACUGAUAUGUAUAUAUAUAUGUUUUUGUCCGGGGGUACGACGGGGCCCUGUCCCGUCAUAUUGCACCGUUAAAAACUCUUAGAGGUCUGUAGACAUGUAUGUGGGUUGUAUUCAGAUGUGAUCAGUUGUGUGUAUUAUCAGUAUGCGUGUUCUAUCGUUGUAGCAGCCUUGCCAGCUUGCAUAUAUUGUCAUGUUGUGGUAGCAGCCUUGUCGGCUUGCGUAGAAUAAUAAUAUAUACAGUGGCAACCUCGUCGGUUUGCGUAUGUCAUUAUGUUGUGAUUGAUUGAGGACCUAUAGUAUCAGUCCGAUUAUGUUUGACAGGUACAUAUGCGUGUCCAGCUUGGACACUAGUCAUGGCCCACGGGGUUCGGUCAUGACAAAAGUGGUAUCAGAGCUGUUCGUCCUCGGAGUGUCUACAGACCGUGUCUAGUAGAGUCUUAUUUAUCGGUGUGUUGUGCACCACAUCUAUAAACAGGAAGCUACAGGACAUUUAGGAUGUCACCUUUCUUUCAUAUCUAAGAUCGUGCGAUAGAGCCCAGCCGUAGGAAAUGAAAUUCCUUGUACUAACCUUUGAUUUCAGUUGAAGAACGACAUCGACAGAAGGAAGCGACUGACGAUAUUGGAAGUUACAAAGUACACAGGUAAGUAACGGUACGAAGGAGGCAUGUCGGAUAAGGUAAGAAUAUUGAAAUGUGAUUGAAAUGUAAAAUUGGAGGAUGAAAGAGAAGGUGGGCAGGAAAGUAUAACAGAACAGAUCGUUAAAGGAUCAGGUACGUCUGGAGGUGUGAUAUGUGAGGUAAGUCCCGACACCUUUAUACCUUUCACUUGAAGUUGGGAGCCCUGUGUGGCUAUGAUACGAUAUGAUAUAUGUGUACAUAUGUUGGCCCUGUAAGGCAUUGUUGGUAUUUUCUGCGUGCAGGUUCUGGGAUAGUAAGAAGUACAGAGGAAACUCUGUCCAAAUUUUCCCAGAAAUAGGAAAAAGGAAGAGAAUGAGGUAUACGUUCAUAAUAUGUUUUGAAGGUUAAUAUAUGAAAGGAUGACAAGAAAUGGAAGAGUAUGAGUACAAUAGUGGCACAUGCAGGAACAAGGAUAAAAAGAGGUGUUGCACAGAAGAAAUACAAUAUAGAGAUCAUAAUAUAAUGAUACAGCACGUAGAAGAAUAAUAAAGGAAGUAAGGAAAAGUAUGACAAAUUAUUGUGACAUGAUAAUGGAUGUGUGUUAAAAUGAAAUAAUAUAAAAUACGUUUACUGUAUAUUAGUGUGUAAAAUGAUGUUAUUAGUAUGAACAUAAUGUGUAGUGUAGUCAAAAAGUUGUAAAUAUACAGAGAAUAAGAUAAAGAAUUGAGGGAAUAUGACGCUGAUGUAAGUGAAUAAUAAAUAUGAUGGCCGUGGAUUGUAUAAGUGUCAAGAGAUGAUGAUGAACAUGGAUGCUGGUAUUAUAUAAAUAAGAUACACAUGUGCAAUAGCAUAUAACUAAGAAUUACACGUUGUUUAAUAAUGGUGAGCUUUAUAAUGUGAAAAAGAAAUGAAUAAUGGAAGAAAACAUUAAGUAGAAUGUAGUUGUUGAGAAUAGUGUAUGUUGAGAAGUAAUACGUGAGAGUGGUAGGUGGGAUAGUGUUGUAUGUGGAAAGUAUUGGUUGUGUAUGAUAUCAAGUAAUGAAUAUAUCUAUAUAAUAAUAAAAAAAAACCAUUAAGAUUAACGUAGUGAUAGAUGUUACAACAAGGUAAAAUGUGAAUGAACAACAAUAAAUUUAAACAAAAAUGAAGGGUACUAGAAUAACAAAAGCAAAACUAGAAUAUAUAUUAUAAAGUAGGACACAAACUAAUUAACAGGAGUGAAAAUAGUGCAUAGAAAGUUGAAAAAUUAUGUGUAGGAUUGCUAAAAAAACAUGGAGGAUGAAAAAUAUGAUUGUGGAGUUAGAGUAACGAUGUUUUGAUGAUAGAAGAUUGUGGUCAAUGAUGUAUAUAUUGCAAUAAUUAGUAAAAAUGACAAAUGGAUUAAUAAUGUAAGUACAUGUAUUGCAUAAGAUGAAAUGUAAGUAUUAAAAAAAAAUGUAUAUAAGAAUGUACAUGACAACAGUAAGAAAAACAUUAGUGUUACAAAAAUAGAUAGAUAAUUUUUUAGUGUGAAAAAAAUAUGAGAAGAACAUUAAAGGUUGUUAUGUAUGUAGUAAAAUGAUUUAAUUUUGAAAAAAAAAAAUUGACAUAGAAAAAUGAAGAAGUAGUAUGAGGAACAAUGAUUAGUAACGGGGAUAAAGAAAGGUGUCAAUAGUGAAAGAAAUACUAGAGAGAAAAGGGAGAAAAAUAACUUAUAAAGGAUAGAAAGUGACAAAAAAAAAACAUAGCAAAUAAAUAGAUGUAAUGAUACGUGUAAUAGUAGCAAGUAAAUAAAGACGUAAAGAUAGCAAUUGAUGAAAAGACUUAUUAUAUAAUGUUGAUGAUGAGAUAGUGCAGAAAUAAUCGUAAGAAACAUGAUGCAGACUAUAAUAAAAAGGUGUUGGUGAAAAACAACAAAAAUUAAGAAUAGGAUGAAAAUUACUAUAGAAUAUUAGAUUUAUGAUAUUGUUGACAAUUACAGUAAAACAAACAGUGUAUAGAUAAGAGACGAGAACUAGAGAAGAGGAAAGAAUACAGAUAUACAGUGUGUUAGAUAGACAAAGUGACUUACAAACAAAAUAGGGGUUGACAAAAAAAAAAAUGGUUGAUUUAAUGUAUGUGAUAUAAGGAACUAGAAUAAUGACAAAAGAUAGUGAAAGAGACAGAAACUGAGAAAAUGAAAGAAACAAAAAGCAAAUGUAAGAUGUUGACAAAAGAAUGAUAUAAAGGAAUAGAAAUAAUAGCUACAUGAAAAGAAUAAUAACACAAGACAGAAAUUGAAAAAGACGAUAUGGACGCAUAUGGAAGGAGGGAAAUUUAGGUACAGAGAUGCAAAGACAGAAAAGAGUAUGCGAGCAUCUAUCCUACGGUGAAAGAGUUAUAAACAUUAGAUAACAAAGAUAAAUUGGUCUUUGGCAUUAUGAGGUAAUAUGUCGAGCAGAGACGUAAAGACGAAAUGGAAAAAGGUAUGGACCGAAGGACGAGAGAGGGACGAAAAGUUCAAGGUAGUACUUCGUAAAGUAAGGCGAACUGUGAAAUAAAUUUGAAAAACGGGCAUGUGACAGAAAAGAGGUAUUUACCUCAAUGUGAUGAUAAGGGUGCUAUAGGAAAAACUACCUAUAUAAGUGUCACUCGAUAGGAAAAAAACUACCUAUAUAAGUGAUACGAGUAUUUACUUCAAAAGAGUGCUCUCGAGAGAUCCAGUACGGGACAUGAUUGACAUGGGAUUUAGAACCCCUUAAGAUGAUACAUCAUGUGUUGUAACUUUUGUUCAGAUAUAAGUUAAGCGAGAAGAGACACUCGAAGAGGAUUCCAAUGAUAAGAGAAAGUUUCCUGACUAUUACGUAAUCACGAGAUGGUAAGAGAUGACAUGGUAUCAGUAUGUCACACAGAAUUCACAUGGUUGAUUUAAUAAUGCGGGUAUAGGGUUAAUGACUAUACAAAUAAGUUUACGGGGAGAAGUAACGAUGAGGACAAAAGCUGUCUAGACUAACUGAGCAAGAGGAAAGACCGACGGGUUUAAAUGUCAAGGAGGAUCGUAUUCGGAGAGUAACUCACUAAUAUCUUUUGGAAGCAUAUUCCCGAGGUGUCAAAGGAGUGUUACAACCGAGAGUCAUUACUAAGAAGGGAACUCGUGUUCAACUAUUCAAAAGGAAUAUUAUAGGUGGUGCAUGUCAGGAGAUUAAAAUGAUGACUCCAAGAAGAAGGUACCCUGCGGACUAUGCGACCUAAAUAAAGAGUGGAAGUAGCUAUAAUAUGACCACACUCUUUGGAAGUUGAAUGAUAACUAAAGUUCGGUGGAGAAUGGUAGUAAAUUAAGCAAGAAAAGGCACAAUAUGACAGAAGAGUAAUUGAUUCGUCAUAAGAUCACCAUAACUAGUAUAUUUAUACAGGGCAAGUUUAACAUUCGAAGACGAAUGUUCUAAAAGGGGGGAAGGAUGUUACAUCCCGUGUUUUCAUACGUUGGAAAGCGUGCGAGUUAAAUGACAUUAGCAACUGAAACAAGGUUAUUCCCCAAGCUUAUAGGUGGUUAGAGUGAUGGUACAUAUGGGUUGUAAAUAUUAGAAGAUAAACAAAUCGAAGAAAAUUAAAUUUCAUUAAGGUUCAACCUUUAUUUGAGGGAAAUACAGUCCAAGCUAUAAUACCCCGUAUUUUUGGACUAGGAAAUUGAACCGUCCAUCAUGAGCAAAUUUACCCGAGUUCGGAAAUUUGGUUUUAUUCAAGCAUGCAAAUCAAGAGCUCGGUGUAUAAAAGGAUGAAGUCCCGAAAUAAUUUAAGACGGAAAAAGUAUGACAACGAGGACUGGAAAUAAUAUUUGGUGUUUGUAUAAAGAGGCUAUGGACUAGAGUUAUACCACAUGAUUAUGAUAAUGAGUAUAUGAAGUGUGUUAUAAGUGAUCAAUAUUUAAGUGAAUUGAGAUCAAGAAAUUAAUUAGAAUUGUGAGAUAAAUAUUAUUUGGCAAAUGCCCUGUAAGUUAUCGACAUGUGGCAGCCAAUAUACAUAUACACGCGCAUAAGAUUUUUUUAAAAAAAAGGGUACAAGAGCAUUUGUUCCUUAGCAAUGUCGAAGAAGUAAAACAUGGGUAGUUUUUAUUUAUUACAAAUUGUGGGCCAUCCCACAUGGUCUUCAUUGACCAUUUCCGUACUUGAAAUAUUUAAAGGAAAAUUUUUUGCCUUGGAAAGUUGAGAAUGCUGCUGGUGACAACAAGGUUGGAAAUUGAUCACUAAAGCAUGCCAUGUUUCCACGUUUUGGUCUUAUCACAGUGGAAUUCUUAUAUUUUAAGUGGGUCCAAGAUGAAUAAGUCAUUAUUGGUGAUUAUCUAAACCUUUUCUUAUCCUUUACAUGGAAAAUCUGCAAAAAACAAUAUGUGGCUUCUCACAUUUUUUUUCCCGUUAAGAGCUCCCAGAACAAAUUCUAAUGCUAUCAAAGAAUACGAACCAAAAUCUUCAAGCAAACCAGAGAUCUGUUGGAAAUGAAUUAAGAUUGAAGCAGAAUAAUUCUUGGUAUAUGAGGUAAGAAUUCUCCUCUACUAGAUAUAUUUAAAUUCGUUCAGGUCAUAGUUAAAUUGUGAGACGGGAACUACGAAAUUAAUUACGAGGUGAAUGAUUAUGAUUGAAUUAUUAUGGGAGAGAAAGGAAUUAAAUAAAAAAUUUAGUGGACAAAGGGUAUGUUAACAUGCACACCACGUAUCCAUGAUUAGGGACACCAAAUUGACACCUUUCAUGACAUUUUGUUGGUGGCAUGUUGGAGACAAAUGAUAUGAACCCGCGACUUAAGUAGGGCAAAAAAAAAAAAAAAAUUGAACCAAACUAGUACAAGAAAAUCAAAAACCACAUUAAUAGAUUUCACGCACGAAUACCAAACUGCAAAAAUUCACUUUGAGCCUUUCACGCAGAAAAUUCGUGCGUGAAGAAGGUGCCCACACCAUCUUUUCUUUUACUUGUUUUGGCAUCUAGCUAGUAAUUUCAAUACUAGUUAAAGACCAAGAGUAGGAUACCUCAAUAGGCUUAGCUUCAAGGAUUAAACGAAGUCUGUUCUCCUCCAAAAAUGAUAAACAUUAAAAAGAUUGCCGCGUAAUUAAGUUUUAGAAACUUUAAAAAUAAAAAUUCUUUAAAGUUAACUAUCCACAUUGUCUUCUUUAAUUUUAUAUAUGACAAAUUUACUCAAAUGAGUACCUUAUUAUAGUUUUCUACCAUUUGUAGCUAUCUUUUUAAAUAUUACCAUUUGUAGCUAUAUUUUAGCAAAAUAGUGUAUGUUUUCGCGUGUAUUUGUUGUCAACAAAUACAUGAGAACACGGUAAAAACAAUCAGGAUCCUUGAUUUUAGCAUUUACCGGUAGAGCUAUUAAAUUAGAUAUUAAUAUAUUUUUUUUGAUGUAUUUUAGUGAUUUUUUUAAUGUAUUUCAGUGAUUUUUUCUAUGUAUUUUACAAAAAAAUAAAAUUGAUGUAUUUCAACGGCUUUUUUUGAUGUAUUUCAAAUAUAUUGUGUACAUUCCAACUAUAUAUGAAGCCAAAUAUAUUCAAAUUUCAUGUAUUUAAAUGGAUUUCAACAAAUACAUUCAGAUACAAAGACAAAAUUAACAAAAAAUCCUACUGUUGGUCUUUAACUAGUAUUGAAAUUACUAGCUAGAUGCCAAAACAAGUAAAAGAAAAGAAGAAAAAACUAACCCAUAUGGUUUGUUGGAAUAAUUAAUAUUGCUGUAAAUUUGGAAAUACGGACAAUUGUGUAAUUGUGAUGAAACUAGCAGCAGAUGUCAACUUUAACAAACAAAAUGGGCAGGUAAUAAUUAACGUGUUGUUUUUGGCCAACUGUUUAACGGUUUCGUGGUCACCUGCUUCACGCACGAAUUUCGUGUGUGAAAAGCCCAAAGUGCAUUUUUGCAGUUUGGUCCUUUCACGCAUGAAAUUCGUGCGUGAAACCUAUUAAUGUGGUUUUUUUUUCUUGUACUAGUUUGGUUCAAUUUUUUUUUUUGUGCUACUUAAGUCGCGGAUUCCAAAUGAUAUAUGUAUAUAUGUUAAAGUGAAGAGUGGGCUCACGGUCCCAAAUUAAAAAGUUGUGCUUGAAAUCAUUCCUUUCAAAAGGGAUAAUUCUCUUAAGAACGUAUGGAGCAGCAAAAUAUAUAGGAAGCAACUAUAUACUUCAUUUUUAAAGGCAUGAAAAAUGUACAAGUUACGUUGAAGCAACACAAUACGGCAAACGACCUCGAGCCCUCGCCGACUACUUGAUUUUGGCGUCGCUUUCCUCCGGUUGAUAGCAAAUCGGAGAUUUCUUUGAAGUGAAGUUAGAUGGAAGAAGAUCAUUUAUUGACAUAUAAGGUUUAUCAUAUUAAUUGUGGAAGUUCUUGGCUGGACUAAGCUCUUGAACGACGUAAGGUAUGUGAAGUUAACCCUUAUUUCUUUUUGGCAUGGUCUUUGUGAAAUGAAUAGACGAUAUAUAUACGAUUCCAAAGAAAUUCCUAAUCCUAGAGCCACUAGGAUGGCUAAUGAUCUUGAUUCCCCUAACUUAUAUUUUUUUUUGUGUGUGUUUUGAUAUGUACAUAUGAUUUCAAAGUUUCAUUUUGAUAUAAUCCACGGGGACAUCCGAAAGGUAUUUGAUAUGACUAUUAUUUGAAACUGCAAAUGGUGGUUCGUGUUGACUAUUCUAUUGAGUCCUUGAAAAUGUUUUAAAUUGCAUAUAGUUUCUCACUACUCUGCUCGUGCAUGCCUCAAUAUAUCUUUCACCGAGUCCCGGGCCGGGUAUGUUAUCGUGCACAGUUUCACUGCAUUGUUCACCGAGUCCCUCACUAGAGGGCCGGGUACGGUAUAUAUAUAUAUAUAUAUAUAUGAUGAUAUGAUGA